rnacentral:rRNA from 1 species
GACGUAGGGCGCGAGCGUUGUCCGGAUUUAUUGGGCGUAAAGCGCUCGCAGGUGGUUCGUUGCGUCGUGCGUGAAAGACCCCGGCUCAACUGGGGAGCGUCGUGCGAUACGGGCGGACUGGAGGCCAGUAGGGGGAUGCGGAAUUCCGGGUGUAGUGGUGGAAUGCGUAGAGAUCCGGAGGAACACCAGCGGCGAAGGCGGCAUCCUGGACUGGUCCUGACACUCAUGAGCGAAAGCGUGGGGAGCGAUCCGG